GAUGCCUCACGUAAGCGGAAUCACGCAGCAUCUGUAGGGAGGUUCUAGUAGGGAGGGUAACAUGUAAUUCGUACCAUGUCUUUGUACUUUAAAUACCUCGUGAUAGAUGAAGGCCAACAAGGGACUGCAGCUCCUUCUAGAAGCACUACUGUUUCUCUACAGACUUGGACCGUAUCUGAUACCUAUUCCUACUAGAUGUGACACAGACCAUGAAGAAACAGGCCCCCGCCAGCAUGGACAGGAGCAGAAAGAGUCCCACAGCAAUCAUAAUGACUUGCUGGAGUUUGGUGGUGGCUAAAAAGAUGAUGCGGAAGUAAACAAGAGGCCCAUCCCACAAAUGACACAAACAUCGGUAAUUUCUCACCUGCCAAGUGCUUAAAGAGUCCAUUUCCUAGUGAAAUGGCAGAUACUGCCCCCGCUCCACCCGGCCUCAUGUGCUUAAAUGAAAUACUGGGAAAGGCAAGCCUGAAAUAAAGCAGUGUCCGUUGUCUGGCGGUGUUAUUA